rnacentral:rRNA from 1 species
AGAGUUUGAUCCUGGCUCAGAACGAGCGCUGGCGGCGUGGAUAAGACAUGCAAGUCGCACGGAGAAAAGAUAGUUUACUAGCUUUUCUGAGUGGCGCACGGGUGAGUAACACGUGAGCAACCUGCCUCUUAGUGGGGGAUAGCCCUGGGAAACCGGGAUUAAUACCGCAUAUCAUCGCAAGAUGAAAGCAGCAAUGCGCUAAGAGAGGGGCUCGCGGCCUAUUAGUUAGUUGGUGAGGUAACGGCUCACCAAGGCGAUGACGGGUAGCCGGUCUGAGAGGAUGUCCGGCCACACUGGAACUGAGACACGGUCCAGACACCUACGGGUGGCAGCAGUCGAGAAUCAUUCACAAUGGGGGAAACCCUGAUGGUGCGACGCCGCGUGGGGGAAGAAGGUCUUCGGAUUGUAAACCCCUGUCAUGUGGGAGCAAGCUAGCAAUAGUUGAUAGUACCACAAGAGGAAGAGACGGCUGACUCUGUGCCAGCAGCCGCGGUAAUACAGAGGUCUCAAGCGUUGUUCGGAAUCACUGGGCGUAAAGGGUACGUA